GGGUUGUGAGGUUAAGCGACUAAGCGUACACGGUGGAUGCCCUGGCAGUCAGAGGCGAUGAAGGACGUGCUAAUCUGCGAAAAGCGUCGGUAAGGUGAUAUGAACCGUUAUAGCCGGCGAUGUCCGAAUGGGGAAACCCAGUGCAAUUCGUUGCACUAUCGUUUGAUGAAUACAUAGUCAAACGAGGCGAACCGGGGGAACUGAAACAUCUAAGUACCCCGAGGAAAAGAAAUCAACCGAGAUUCCCCCAGUAGCGGCGAGCGAACGGGGAGCAGCCCGGAGUCUGAAUCAGCUUGUGUGUUAGUGGAAGCGUCUGGAAAGUCGCAGGGUACAGGGUGAUACUCCCGUACACUAAAACACACAGGCUGUGAACUCGAAGAGUAGGGCGGGACACGUGGUAUCCUGUCUGAAUAUGGGGGGACCAUCCUCCAAGGCUAAAUACUCCUGACUGACCGAUAGUGAACCAGUACCGUGAGGGAAAGGCGAAAAGAACCCCGGCGAGGGGAGUGAAAAAGAACCUGAAACCGUGUACGUACAAGCAGUAGGAGCCUCUUUAUGGGGUGACUGCGUACCUUUUGUAUAAUGGGUCAGCGACUUAUAUUCUGUAGCAAGGUUAACCGUAUAGGGGAGCCGCAGGGAAACCGAGUCUUAACUGGGCGUUAAGUUGCAGGGUAUAGACCCGAAACCCGGUGAUCUAGCCAUGGGCAGGUUGAAGGUUGGGUAACACUAACUGGAGGACCGAACCGACUAAUGUUGAAAAAUUAGCGGAUGACUUGUGGCUGGGGGUGAAAGGCCAAUCAAACCGGGAGAUAGCUGGUUCUCCCCGAAAGCUAUUUAGGUAGCGCCUCGUGAACUCAUCUUCGGGGGUAGAGCACUGUUUCGGCUAGGGGGUCAUCCCGACUUACCAACCCGAUGCAAACUACGAAUACCGAAGAAUGUUAUCACGGGAGACACACGGCGGGUGCUAACGUCCGUCGUGAAGAGGGAAACAACCCAGACCGCCAGCUAAGGUCCCAAAGUCAUGGUUAAGUGGGAAACGAUGUGGGAAGGCCCAGACAGCCAGGAUGUUGGCUUAGAAGCAGCCAUCAUUUAAAGAAAGCGUAAUAGCUCACUGGUCGAGUCGGCCUGCGCGGAAGAUGUAACGGGGCUAAACCAUGCACCGAAGCUGCGGCAGCGACACUAUGUGUUGUUGGGUAGGGGAGCGUUCUGUAAGCCGUUGAAGGUGGCCUGUGAGGGUUGCUGGAGGUAUCAGAAGUGCGAAUGCUGACAUAAGUAACGAUAAUGCGGGUGAAAAACCCGCACGCCGGAAGACCAAGGGUUCCUGUCCAACGUUAAUCGGGGCAGGGUGAGUCGACCCCUAAGGCGAGGCCGAAAGGCGUAGUCGAUGGGAAACAGGUUAAUAUUCCUGUACUCGGUGUUACUGCGAAGGGGGGACGGAGAAGGCUAUGUUGGCCGGGCGACGGUUGUCCCGGUUUAAGCAUGUAGGCGGAUGUUCCAGGUAAAUCCGGAACGUUACUAACGCUGAGGUGUGAUGACGAGGCACUACGGUGCUGAAGUGACAAAUGCCCUGCUUCCAGGAAAAGCCUCUAAGCAUCAGGUAACAUCAAAUCGUACCCCAAACCGACACAGGUGGUCAGGUAGAGAAUACCAAGGCGCUUGAGAGAACUCGGGUGAAGGAACUAGGCAAAAUGGUGCCGUAACUUCGGGAGAAGGCACGCUGAUAUGUAGGUGAAGUGGUUUACCCAUGGAGCUGAAAUCAGUCGAAGAUACCAGCUGGCUGCAACUGUUUAUUAAAAACACAGCACUGUGCAAACACGAAAGUGGACGUAUACGGUGUGACGCCUGCCCGGUGCCGGAAGGUUAAUUGAUGGGGUUAUCCGUAAGGAGAAGCUCUUGAUCGAAGCCCCGGUAAACGGCGGCCGUAACUAUAACGGUCCUAAGGUAGCGAAAUUCCUUGUCGGGUAAGUUCCGACCUGCACGAAUGGCGUAAUGAUGGCCAGGCUGUCUCCACCCGAGACUCAGUGAAAUUGAACUCGCUGUGAAGAUGCAGUGUACCCGCGGCAAGACGGAAAGACCCCGUGAACCUUUACUAUAGCUUGACACUGAACACUGGUCCUUGAUGUGUAGGAUAGGUGGGAGGCUUUGAAGUGUGGACGCCAGUCUGCAUGGAGCC
rnacentral:rRNA from 2 species